GAUGAACGCUGGCGGCGUGCCUAAUACAUGCAAGUCGAGCGAACGGACGAGAAGCUUGCUUUUCUGAUGUUAGCGGCGGACGAGUGAGUAACACGUGGAUAACCUACCUAUAAGACUGGGAUAACUUCGGGAAACCGGAGCUAAUACCGGAUAAUAUUUUGAACCGCAUGGUUCAAAAGUGAAAGACGGUCUUGCUGUCACUUAUAGAUGGAUCCGCGCUGCAUUAGCUAGUUGGUAAGGUAACGGCUUACCAAGGCAACGAUGCAUAGCCGACCUGAGAGGGUGAUCGGCCACACUGGAACUGAGACACGGUCCAGACUCCUACGGGAGGCAGCAGUAGGGAAUCUUCCGCAAUGGGCGAAAGCCUGACGGAGCAACGCCGCGUGAGUGAUGAAGGUCUUCGGAUCGUAAAACUCUGUUAUUAGGGAAGAACAUAUGUGUAAGUAACUGUGCACAUCUUGACGGUACCUAAUCAGAAAGCCACGGCUAACUACGUG
rnacentral:rRNA from 1 species